UACGAAGGGGGCUAGCGUUGUUCGGAUUAACUGGGCGUAAAGGGUGCGUAGGCGGGGUUUUAAGUCAGGGGUGAAAUGCCGAGGCUCAACUUCGGAACUGCCUUUGAUACUGGAACUCUUGAGUCUGGGAGAGGUGAGUGGAACUGCGAGUGUAGAGGUGAAAUUCGUAGAUAUUCGCAAGAACACCAGUGGCGAAGGCGGUUCACUGGCCCGGAACUGACGCUGAGGCACGAAAGCGUGGGGAGCAAACAGG
rnacentral:rRNA from 1 species